UAGCUGAUGUCAGGGAUAGUUUAUCACUGUAUCUAGGAAUUGAGCCCAUUCUCUACCGUAACUUCAUAGUGCUGGCAUGAUAGAUAGUGGGGGAAUGGAAGCCAAGGUAUCCAGGCUAAGUAGUAGGACAGGAUUUGUUUUAAGGUGUUUUUUGCCAAUUGUCUAUUAAUUGCAGAGCAGCAAGAAAUUUCAGUGUGGGAUUCUCUAUGUCAUAAACCCAGUUCAUCACUUCUGUGCAUAUUCAGACCUGCAGGUGCGUGCAGACAGAAGAGAAAUGAUGAAAGACUGACUGCUGCAUUCCUAGUGCGUGGAACAGUGUCCUGCAUGCACAGAUAUUCCAUGAAUGCUUGCUGAAGGGUUAGACUCUGAAUGCUAAAGGGAAAUGUGUGAUAUAAAUAAAAAGAAGUUUGGUCUGUUUCUUACUACAUUCUUCUCCACCCAGUAAGCCAGCUAACUAUAAAUGUAAAGAUAUUCCUUUAAGUCACUGUAAAUAUUCUCACAAAUCUAGAAAUUUGACUCAAGUAGGUUUUCCUUCUAAAGCAAAGCUCCUGAACUUGCCUUAAGGGAGUCUGAAAGUACGUUAAAAUUGUAGGCAAA